rnacentral:lncRNA from 1 species
ACGACGCUCGCUGCUGGUCACCUUCAGAAGACGGGACAUGGGCUGGAGAGAGCCUCGCACUCAAGACCUUGGUCAGUUCUCGGGACCGAAGAUGUUUGGGUUCUCGGCUCUUUUGCUCCUCUGCAGCCUGAUGACCCCUUCACAAGGAUUCAUAAUCAGGCCCUCGGCUGCCAAAGCGGGUGUCGAUGAUCUUAAAGGUUCACAAGCCAAACUUGACCUCCAGAAGGUUCAAAGUGGUUGUGGCAAGAAUCUGCUCGGUGGUCUCCUUGGAAAAGAUAAUCCUCUAGACGGAGUCCUCGGCAAAAAUGGUGUCCUUGGUGGUCUCCUCGGUGGAGAUGGUGCUGUUGGUGGUCUUCUUGGUGGAGGUAGUCUCCUUGGCCUAGAUGGUGUCCUUGGUGGUCUCCUCGGUGAAGAUGGUGCUGUUGGCAGUCUCCUUGGUGAAGACGGUGUCCUUGGUGGUCUCCUGGGCAGAGAUGGUGCUGUUGGCGGUCUCCUUGGUGAAGACGGUGUCCUUGGUGGUCUCCUUGGAGGAGAUGGUGCUGUUGGCAGUCUCCUUGGUGAAGAUGGUGUCCUUGGUGGUCUCCUCGGAGGAGAUGGUGCUGUUGGCAGUCUCCUUGGCAGAGAUGGUGUCCUUGGUGGUCUCCUGGGCAGAGAUGGUGUUGUUGGCGGUCUCCUUGGUGAAGAUGGUGUCCUUGGUGGUCUCCUUGGAGGAGAUGGUGUCCUCGGUGGUCUCCUUGACAAAGAAGGUGUCCUCGGUGGUCUCCUUGGCAAAGAUGGUGUCCUUGGUGCUCUCCUUGGCAAAGAUGGUCUUGUUGAUAAUCUCCUUGAUAUUCUUGCUGGUCUCCUCGGCAAAGACGGUCUCCUUGGCAAAAAUGGUCUCGUUGGCAGUCUUCUCGUUAGAAAUGGUGGAGAUCUCACAGAGGUGAAAAUUCUGAACAACACCCUUCCCAAAAUAAGUCUGCGCUCCCUGCCAGGCUUUGGGCACCAGGUGGGCUUCAACACCCAGCUGCUGGUGGAGAGCACUAGCGCGCCGGGCAGCGUGCUCUGCGAGCAGGUGGAAGCAGAUGCCGUCAUGCUGGUGCAGGACAAGUGGGCGACUCCGCAGAACGAGGAGGGCUGCAGGACUUCUGACAUAAGCGUCCAUGUGAGACCCAAAGUGCCACUUCUGGAUCAGCCUUUGAAACACCGACUUAGUGAUGCCCUGCGCGAGCUGGGGUGCAGAAUCGUCGGGAGCAGGCUCAGCGCGGUGAGCGCUCUGCUGGGCGCCGGGACCCCUGCGCUCCCGCUCGGGGCGCUGGGAGAUCUGCCCCCCUUCUCCAUCCUCAGCAGCGACGCGAUCCAGCUGGAGCUAAACCUCCCCGCCGGGGACACGGUGGCCUCUGCUCAGGGACCACUCGCUGCCACCCUGCUGCUGGCCACGGGCCACCCGCCGCGGCUCGGCCUCCCCCAGCGCGCCCUCCGUGUCCUGAUGCAGCCGGUCCUGGGGCAAGGAGCCUUCAGCCGCAACAUCACCGGCUCCAUGGUGGGUCACCACGGCGGGUUGGGGCCCUGGUCGCUUUUGGGUGACCCAAGGGUGCUCGUGGGGCCCAGCCCAGCCCAGCACGGGCUGUGCACGACCCCUCCCGGCCCCGACGCCGCUGUCCCCGCAGGUGCCCNNNNNNNNNNNNNNNNNNNNNNNNNNNNNNNNNNNNNNNNNNNNNNNNNNGGGGGGGGGGGGGGGGGGCUGCACCUGGUGCACCCCGACUCCACCUUGUUUUUAUCUUUUGUAGCAUCAACGUGACACGGGCACCCCCGGGACUCAACCUUCUCGGUGUAAGUGCUCACAGCUGGGGACGGCGGCGCUGCGCGAGCGGCCUGAUGGCCAGAGACACUGUGUAGGGAAGGAGAACCAAAAUGCCAAUUUUUCUUCAGUCUCUGUUUCUUCUUCUCUUGGCAGAGGCCAGUUGUUGCCCGCCCUGCCGGUCCCCAGUGCCCUGGGUGUAUGUGUUCACUUGCUGGCAGCGCACGGGGGUGUUGGGGGAGGAAUAAUCGGGAGAAAUGACCCGAAGAGCGUGUCCCUGUGCGUUCCCUCACCCUCAGUCCUGGAAGGGUUUCGCUGAAGGACACUUCCCGGUGUUUGUGUUUCAUGGCUCGGAGCAGCCUGCAGGGACAGAACUGAAUUGAUAAGCAGGAACAAAGCUGGACUGAUGAGCAGGGACAGAGCUGAACUGAUCAGCCUGACCUGGAUGAUUUCAUCCCCGUAAUUGUUGCUCUCGUCUUCAGACCCACGUCUCCUUUCCCCGCAGGUCUCCCCGCUCGCAGGGUGGCUCAAGCGAGUCCUUGAAGCUGCGUAUGUCCCUGCCAUCAACGGUACGGCCGGGCUCUGGGUCCCCUCUUCUUCCAAACUCUCCCCUUUCCCUCUCUGCCCGCGUUCGGGGUCGUCCCCCCCCGUGACGAGGUGCUUCCGCUUGCUCUCGCAGAUGCCCUGAACGUGUCGGUCCCUCUGCCCAACACCCUCAACGCCAGCCUCAGGGAGGCCCAGGUGGACGUCACCGAUGUAAGGAUCCAUGUGCCCCAGCGCGGCCGUCUGGGGAGCGAGGGACGAUCCCCCCCGGGCAGGGCCCUGCCGAGCCAGAGCCCCCCCGGCCACCCCAUUGCCCACGGGCUGCUCAGGGUUUUCCAGGGGCCUGUGUUGGGCGCCCAGGAAAACCACUCCCGGGAUACAGGGAAAAGCUGGUGGAAGUCCGAGUGAGAAAACAGAAUGUUUUUUGUGCCGCUUCUCGCAGGCAGACGAUUCUCUCCACCAAACGGCUCUGAAGGGAUCCUGCUCGGGAGGGGCCCUGGCCCAGCUCAGGGGCUGAGGCAGGCGCCGUGCCCGGCCCCUCUCUGCUCCUUCCAGCUCUGUUUUCCCUCAAGCGACCCCCUGCGCUGCCGCUGUGGCCCGGGAGGGACAUGGGGACACAGGUGACCGUCUCCGGUCCGUCCUGGCACGGCGGCUGGGCUGUGGGUGUUGGGGGGUUCUGCGGUCCCUCCUCACGUCCGCAGCCAGGAAGCUGAGCUCUUCCUUAGGCAUAAGGGUUGCUCUCAUAUUGCUCCUUCAAUAAAAUCUCUGUCUGUCUCA